rnacentral:rRNA from 1 species
GAUGAACGCUAGCUACAGGCUUAACACAUGCAAGUCGAGGGGUAACAAGAGAAAAGCUUGCUUUUCUUGUUGACGACCGGCGCACGGGUGAGUAACGCGUAUCCAACCUGCCUAUAACUAGGGAAUAACCUUGCGAAAGUAAGACUAAUACCCUAUGAUUUCCUUUGAUGACAUCGGAUUAGGAAUAAAGAUUUAUCGGUUAUAGAUGGGGAUGCGUUUGAUUAGCUUGUUGGCGGGGUAACGGCCCACCAAGGCAACGAUCAGUAGGGGUUCUGAGAGGAAGGUCCCCCACAUUGGAACUGAGACACGGUCCUAACUCCUACGGGAGGCAGCAGUGAGGAAUAUUGGUCAAUGGGCGGAAGCCUGAACCAGCCAAGUAGCGUGCAGGAUGACGGCCCUAUGGGUUGUAAACUGCUUUUAUACAGGAAUAAAGUUAGCCACGUGUGGUUAUUUGUAGGUACUGUAUGAAUAAGGACCGGCUAAUUCCGUGCCAGCCGCCGCGGUAA